AUGGCUCCAGAACUGCUUUUCAUUAUCUUUAAUAUUCUUUUGCUGCGAUCCCGCCGUCUGGUGAGGAACAGACGCGUCCGAAGGACAAUUUUGGCUCUAAGAUCCAGAUAUCAAACUAACGAGCAACCAUCACAGUAUUGUGUGCAGAACAGGCAUGUUCCAUUGCUGGCGAUGUACAUUGAUGGCCAAACUGACCUGAAUCGAAAGCGGGUAAGGACUUCAUCGUGACGCAGGAUGGACGACAUGCAAGUGGCCUUUUGCCCGUUUUGUGGCAAACAUUUGAGCAGAUUGACGCCGAUUUGUGGUUUCUGUGGUCGGUCUUUGGCGUUUUCUGAAGUACGUACAACGUGAAUCAGCUGUACCAUUGGUUAGCGGCUGCUAACUUUCUAACUGAAGAAAAGAAGGACAUUGUGGCAGACUACGUCCGAAGGUAUGUCAUUGACCUCAACUCAUCUGUAAUUGACAGGUAAGUUAAAUUUUCAUUUGUUUUUUGUCGUUCCACCCCACCCCCCAAAAAAUGAAAUUUGCUUGAAAUGUCUCAUGGCAUGUAUAUCUAUGGUGUUACAACUGCUAGCCUAUAUGUCUGUCUCUCCAUUCUCUGCCUUAUGCUAAUGUAUAAAUACUCAAUAUAACGAACAAAUAUAACCUUAUAAACUUAUAAAAUAAUAAACUUAAGAUAAUACAAUUUAGGUAGUUUAAUUGGUUGUUGCCGUUGGCACUACACAGCAGUGAAAGUGUUUGUGUUCACUUUGUAGAUUCAAAGAUGGCCUUUCAGCCCUUCAGUUUCUGACAGCACUACAGCAACACCCUUCUUUGCUGACCCCAGUUCUCUGCCACUCUGAAAAGCGACUAACUGGCUUUGACAUUGAGAGACUUUACACCUGACGUCAGCCCUGCAUUUGCAUUUAGGCUACUGUCCUGAUUAGUUGGAUCUGCAGAGUAUGUACUGGAAGCCAAUAAAUAAAAUUCCUGAACAACAUUUAGGGCUUGUUGUUAUUGAUAUGCUCCGUAAGGUAUCCCAGAGGGGGCUGCUAAAUAAACACCUGAUUAUUAAAUUCAUGUUUCAGCUCCCGUUUUUCUUUUCAGGCAGCCUCUGGGACACCUGGAGUGGUCAGGGCUACUUGCUGCCUGGGUUUGGACACGCCUGGUUCAAAGCCUGACAUAAAAGGCACAACAUCAAAGACUAAAGCUCUACUCCUAAACAUAAAUCCUAAUAUACUUAAACUAUCUACUUGUGUUAGUGAAACAGCAUAACAGAAUAACAUAAGAGAAGCUGCUAAAGUGAUCUACAUUUUAAACAAAA
rnacentral:lncRNA from 1 species